GAGGGUAUAGCUUAGUGGUAAAGUGCAUGCCUAGCAUGCACAAGGUCCUGGGCUCAAUUCAUAGUACCUCUG
rnacentral:tRNA from 1 species